rnacentral:ncRNA from 1 species
CGAUCAUCGACAACGCGAUGACCAAGAAGCCGCAGGUCGUGCAGAUCGAGCCGACCGACAAGGCAUUCAAGACAGACGGCUGCCAGCCGUGGCAGAAAACCGAUUCGGCCACUCCCGACCCGGGCAGACCGCCGGCCGAAGCCAAAACACAGCUCGACAUCCUGAACGCUCUGCUCAACCCGCACGGCCGUUAGCGA